rnacentral:lncRNA from 1 species
GGCGCGAUGGUAGCCGCCUCACACGUCCGCCUGUUGACCGUCGCGCCCAUUGGGCGCGAUGGUAGCCGCGCCGCACAUCCGCCUGUUGACCGUCGCGCCCAUUGGGCGCGAUGGUAGCCGCGCUCACAUCCGCCUGUUCACCGUCGCGCCCAUUGGGCGCGAUGGUAGCCGCGCUGCACAUCCGCCUGUUUACCGUCGCGCCCAUUGGGCGCGAUGGUAGCCGCGCUGCACAUCCGCCUGUUGACCGUCGCGCCCAUUGGGCGCGAUGGUAGCCGCGCCGCACAUCCGCCUGUUCACCGUCGCGCCCAUUGGGCGCGAUGGUAGCCGCGCUGCACAUCCGCCUGUUUACCGUCGCGCCCAUUGGGCGCGAUGGUAGCCACGCCGCACAUCCGCCUGUUUACCGUCGCGCCCAUUGGGCGCGAUGGUAGCCGCACCGCACAUCCGCCUGUUCACCGUCGCGCCCAUUGGGCGCGAUGGUAGCCGCGCCGCACAUCCGCCUGUUUACCGUCGCGCCCAUUGGGCGCGAUGGUAGCCGCCUCACACAUCCGCCUGUUGACCGUCGCGCCCAUUGGGCGCGAUGGUAGCCGCCCGCACAUCCGCCUGUUGACCGUCGCGCCCAUUGGGCGCGAUGGUAGCCGCGCCGCACAUCCGCCUGUUCACCGUCGCGCCCAUUGGGCGCGAUGGUAGCCGCGCUGCACAUCCGCCUGUUUACCGUCGCGCCCAUUGGGCGCGAUGGUAGCCACGCCGCACAUCCGCCUGUUUACCGUCGCGCCCAUUGGGCGCGAUGGUAGCCGCACCGCACAUCCGCCUGUUGACCAUGGCGCCCAUUGGGCGCGAUGGUAGCCGCGCCGCACAUCCGCCUGUUUACCGUCGCGCCCAUUGGGCGCGAUGGUAGCCGCCUCACACGUCCGCCUGUUGACCGUCGCGCCCAUUGGGCGCGAUGGUAGCCGCCUCACACGUCCGCCUGUUCACCGUCGCGCCCAUUGGGCGCGAUGGUAGCCGCGCCGCACAUCCGCCUGUUCACCGUCGCGCCCAUUGGGCGCGAUGGUAGCCGCACCGCACAUCCGCCUGUUCACCGUCGCGCCCAUUGGGCGCGAUGGUAGCCGCCUCACACGUCCGCCUGUUCACCGUCGCGCCCAUUGGGCGCGAUGGUAGCCCGCCGCACAUCCGCCUGUUUACCGUCGCGCCCAUUGGGCGCGAUGGUAGCCGCGCCGCACAUCCGCCUGUUCACCGUCGCGCCCAUUGGGCGCGAUGGUAGCCGCGCUGCACAUCCGCCUGUUUACCGUCGCGCCCAUUGGGCGCGAUGGUAGCC